UCAGGCGAGGUAUACGAGGUGCGCCCCAGCCUUGUCGGCAUCGGCAGAUAGUCCAUAUGCCCUCUUAUUUGAUUGCGAUGGAGUGAUUAUUGAGACUGAAGAACUCCAUCGGCUGGCUUACAACGCAGCAUUCAAGGAAUUCAACCUCG
rnacentral:snRNA from 16 species